ACAUACGACCAUAGGACGAUGAGAGCAAGGCUUCCCGUUCGCUCAGCCAUAUUUAAGCAUCGUACCGGAGGGUUAGUAGUUAAGUGGGUGACCAUUAGCGAAUCUCCUCUGUUGUAUGUU
rfam:Phaeosphaeria nodorum SN15 scaffold_7, whole genome shotgun sequence.